rnacentral:lncRNA from 1 species
UUGAUUCCAUGACUCUUGUACAAAUCGUGUAUUAAUCUACUAUAACUAUAGGAUACUCCCCUUUUGCGAAUUACUUCAUGCAUUUCUUUUUGUUUUGAUGUAACAAUUCGUCCGUAUGGUGAUGCUAUUAUCUGUCAAUGGUACUGUAUCUCUUGCUCUUCGUCAGGAACAUGGUUGAAAUUAGUCUGCUAUAAUCAUCUAACAUCUAUUGCUUGUUGCUCUUUUUAUUUCCCCGCCUUGAUGUUUCUGUAUUUGAUCUUUUUGUGUUUCUUUCUUAUUUUCCUUUGGACUAUUAGUUUACUUUUUAGUUAGCACUGAAUUAGAAGAGGAUAGAGAUCCAGAUAAAUCAUUUCCAAGGCCAUCUUUGUGAUCUUCUGUCCACUGAAAAAAUAACCGCAUAGAGCUGCUCGUAUAAUGUAUUAGCAAUAUGGGAAGAAAUCUCAAAAGUUUGAUCAUCAUGCUCCCAGGGUAAACGUUGUUUCUUCAAUGGAAUAUCAACCCAAUAAUGCUUCCUCAUUCUCUUGGGAAAACAAUAUCAUAUUUGAAUAUCUUAGGAAAUACAACAACUUAUCCAGUGUAGUUCCACAAGUGGGGUCUGAGGAGGGUAGUGCAUAAGCAACCUUACCCCUACCUUGUGAAGGUAGAGAUUUUGUUUCUGAAGGACCCUCAGCCCAAGUAACCACAAUGAAAAGGAAAUACAGUAGUAAAGAAGUCAUGCUGAAAAUUAUGGAGAAAAGAACAUGAGCAACAAAUAAUACAUAAC